rnacentral:rRNA from 1 species
UGGGGAAUUUUGGACAAUGGGGGCAACCCUGAUCCAGCAAUGCCGCGUGAGUGAAGAAGGUCUUCGGAUUGUAAAGCACUUUAAGUUGGGAGGAAGGGCCAUUACCUAAUACGUGAUGGUUUUGACGUUACCGACAGAAUAAGCACCGGCUAACUCUGUGCCAGCAGCCGCGGUAAUACAGAGGGUGCAAGCGUUAAUCGGAAUUACUGGGCGUAAAGCGCGCGUAGGUGGUUAUGUAAGUUGGAUGUGAAAUCCCCGGGCUCAACCUGGGAACUGCAUCCAAAACUGCAUGGCUAGAGUACGGUAGAGGGUGGUGGAAUUUCCUGUGUAGCGGUGAAAUGCGUAGAUAUAGGAAGGAACACCAGUGGCGAAGGCGACCACCUGGACUGAUACUGACACUGAGGUGCGAAAGCGUGGGGAGCAAACAGGAUUAGAUACCCCGGUAGUCCCUGAGCGGGCUGGCAAGGCGCAU